rnacentral:rRNA from 2 species
UACGUAGGGGGCGAGCGUUGUCCGGAAUCAUUGGGCGUAAAGAGCGUGUAGGUGGACUGGAAGGUCUGGUGUGAAAGCCCGGGGCUCAACCCCGGAGGGUCACUGGAAACCAACAGUCUUGAGUCCGGAAGAGGAGAGUGGAAUUCCUAGUGUAGCGGUGGAAUGCGCAGAUAUUAGGAGGAACACCAAUGGCGAAGGCAGCUCUCUGGUACGUGACUGACACUGAGACGCGAAAGCGUGGGGAGCGAACAGG